rnacentral:tRNA from 1 species
AGUUAAUUAGCUAAAUAAAAAGCCUUAUAUCUUGAAAUUAUAAGAAAGAAAAUAAAUUCUAUUAACUU